GACGAACGCUGGCGGCGUGCUUAACACAUGCAAGUCGAACGGAAAGGCCCUGCUUUUGUGGGGUGCUCGAGUGGCGAACGGGUGAGUAACACGUGAGUAACCUGCCCUUCACUUUGGGAUAACUUCAGGAAACUGGGGCUCAUACCGGAUAGGAGCUCCUGCUGCUUGGUGGGGGUUGGUAAGUUUCGGCGGUUGGGGAUGGACUCGCGGCUUAUCAGCUUGUUGGUGGGGUAGUGGCUUACCAAGGCUUUGACGGGUAGCCGGCCUGAGAGGGGGACCGGCCACAUUAGGACUGAGAUACGGCCCAGACUCCUACGGGAGGGAGCAGAGGGGAAGAUUGCACAAGGGGCGGAAGCAAGAUGCAGCAACGCCGCGUGCGGGAUGACGGCCUGCGGGUUGGAAACCGAUGUCGUCUGUGACGAAGCGUGAGUGACGGUAAUGGGUAAAGAAGCACCGGCUAACUACGUG
rnacentral:rRNA from 1 species